rnacentral:lncRNA from 1 species
AAAGAAGGGGCAACAACUAUACAGGAAGGAGAACAGUAGAUCAAAUAUGAUAUCAGGAAAUACAGAAGACUAAAUAUACCCAUUGUUCCUGCUGCGAAAAAGAUGGAAUAUGAUUAAGCUCUCAUACCACCCAGGUCCACACCAGACUCAGCUCACCCAGGAAUGAGUCACUGCUCUGAUGGACUGAUUGGCCUGGGCUGAGCCAAAGCAGUGAUUAAAUAGCUUAGAGCUUUGGAGCUGAAGGGAACCUCUGCACUAAUUCUCCUUCAUGCUUAAACGAAAGCUGAUUCUGGAAGAUAUCCAGUGAUGGCUGGGAUUUAGGAGGAUGGUCUUCUGCAAACCAACCACAGGAACUGAUGCCAACAGGCUCUUCACUGAGCAGAUGAAGUGCGGGCUGGGGAGCUCUUCGGCUAAUUUGUUUUCCAUGUAUAGUGAAUGUUUUCAAACAUAAAUUAUUAAUUGUACUUUAAAAGUUGACUGUAUAAAAUGAAUUUUCAGUUAAUCUACACUCCAAAU